CUCCCAAACCCAAUGUGAACCAUACCAAACUGUUGCCUCGGCGGGGUCACGCCCCGGGUGCGUCGCAGCCCCGGAACCAGGCGCCCGCCGGAGGGACCAACCAAACUCUUUUCUGUAGUCCCCUCGCGGACGUUAUUUCUUACAGCUCUGAGCAAAAAUUCAAAAUGAAUCAAAACUUUCAACAACGGAUCUCUUGGUUCUGGCAUCGAUGAAGAACGCAGCGAAAUGCGAUAAGUAAUGUGAAUUGCAGAAUUCAGUGAAUCAUCGAAUCUUUGAACGCACAUUGCGCCCGCCAGUAUUCUGGCGGGCAUGCCUGUCCGAGCGUCAUUUCAACCCUCGAACCCCUCCGGGGGGUCGGCGUUGGGGAUCGGGAACCCCUAAGACGGGAUCCCGGCCCCGAAAUACAGUGGCGGUCUCGCCGCAGCCUCUCCUGCGCAGUAGUUUGCACAACUCGCACCGGGAGCGCGGCGCGUCCACGUCCGUAAAACACCCAACUUCUGAAAUGUUGACCUCGGAUCAGGUAGGAAUACCCGCUGAACUUAAGCAUAUCAAUAAGCGRARGAA
rnacentral:rRNA from 1 species